rnacentral:rRNA from 1 species
UUAAGUUAUUAAGGGCGCACGGUGGAUGCCUUGGCACUAGAAGCCGAUGAAGGACGUUACUAACGACGAUAUGCUUUGGGGAGCUGUAAGUAAGCUUUGAUCCAGAGAUUUCCGAAUGGGGAAACCCAGCAUGAGUUAUGUCAUGUUAUCGAUAUGUGAAUACAUAGCAUAUCAGAAGGCACACCCGGAGAACUGAAACAUCUUAGUACCCGGAGGAAGAGAAAGAAAAUUCGAUUCCCUUAGUAGCGGCGAGCGAAACGGGAAGAGCCCAAACCAACAAGCUUGCUUGUUGGGGUUGUAGGACACUCUAUACGGAGUUACAAAGGACGACAUUAGACGAAUCAUCUGGAAAGAUGAAUCAAAGAAGGUAAUAAUCCUGUAGUCGAAAAUGUUGUCUCUCUUGAGUGGAUCCUGAGUACGACGGAGCACGUGAAAUUCCGUCGGAAUCUGGGAGGACCAUCUCCUAAGGCUAAAUACUCUCUAGUGACCGAUAGUGAACCAGUACCGUGAGGGAAAGGUGAAAAGCACCCCGGAAGGGGAGUGAAAUAGAACCUGAAACCGUGUGCUUACAAGUAGUCAGAGCCCGUUAAUGGGUGAUGGCGUGCCUUUUGUAGAAUGAACCGGCGAGUUACGAUUUGAUGCAAGGUUAAGCAGUAAAUGUGGAGCCGUAGCGAAAGCGAGUCUGAAUAGGGCGUUUAGUAUUUGGUCGUAGACCCGAAACCAGGUGAUCUACCCUUGGUCAGGUUGAAGUUCAGGUAACACUGAAUGGAGGACCGAACCGACUUACGUUGAAAAGUGAGCGGAUGAACUGAGGGUAGCGGAGAAAUUCCAAUCGAACCUGGAGAUAGCUGGUUCUCUCCGAAAUAGCUUUAGGGCUAGCCUCAAGUGAUGAUUAUUGGAGGUAGAGCACUGUUUGGACGAGGGGCCCCUCUCGGGUUACCGAAUUCAGACAAACUCCGAAUGCCAAUUAAUUUAACUUGGGAGUCAGAACAUGGGUGAUAAGGUCCGUGUUCGAAAGGGAAACAGCCCAGACCACCAGCUAAGGUCCCAAAAUAUAUGUUAAGUGGAAAAGGAUGUGGCGUUGCCCAGACAACUAGGAUGUUGGCUUAGAAGCAGCCAUCAUUUAAAGAGUGCGUAAUAGCUCACUAGUCGAGUGACACUGCGCCGAAAAUGUACCGGGGCUAAACAUAUUACCGAAGCUGUGGAUUGUCCUUUGGACAAUGGUAGGAGAGCGUUCUAAGGGCGUUGAAGCAUGAUCGUAAGGACAUGUGGAGCGCUUAGAAGUGAGAAUGCCGGUGUGAGUAGCGAAAGACGGGUGAGAAUCCCGUCCACCGAUUGACUAAGGUUUCCAGAGGAAGGCUCGUCCGCUCUGGGUUAGUCGGGUCCUAAGCUGAGGCCGACAGGCGUAGGCGAUGGAUAACAGGUUGAUAUUCCUGUACCACCUAUAAUCGUUUUAAUCGAUGGGGGGACGCAGUAGGAUAGGCGAAGCGUGCGAUUGGAUUGCACGUCUAAGCAGUAAGGCUGAGUAUUAGGCAAAUCCGGUACUCGUUAAGGCUGAGCUGUGAUGGGGAGAAGACAUUGAGUCUUCGAGUCGUUGAUUUCACACUGCCGAGAAAAGCCUCUAGAUAGAAAAUAGGUGCCCGUACCGCAAACCGACACAGGUAGUCAAGAUGAGAAUUCUAAGGUGAGCGAGCGAACUCUCGUUAAGGAACUCGGCAAAAUGACCCCGUAACUUCGGGAGAAGGGGUGCUCUUUAGGGUUAACGCCCAGAAGAGCCGCAGUGAAUAGGCCCAAGCGACUGUUUAUCAAAAACACAGGUCUCUGCUAAACCGUAAGGUGAUGUAUAGGGGCUGACGCCUGCCCGGUGCUGGAAGGUUAAGAGGAGUGGUUAGCUUCUGCGAAGCUACGAAUCGAAGCCCCAGUAAACGGCGGCCGUAACUAUAACGGUCCUAAGGUAGCGAAAUUCCUUGUCGGGUAAGUUCCGACCCGCACGAAAGGCGUAACGAUUUGGGCACUGUCUCAACGAGAGACUCGGUGAAAUCAUAGUACCUGUGAAGAUGCAGGUUACCCGCGACAGGACGGAAAGACCCCGUGGAGCUUUACUGUAGCCUGAUAUUGAAAUUCGGCACAGCUUGUACAGGAUAGGUAGGAGCCUUUGAAACGUGAGCGCUAGCUUACGUGGAGGCGCUGGUGGGAUACUACCCUAGCUGUGUUGGCUUUCUAACCCGCACCACUUAUCGUGGUGGGAGACAGUGUCAGGCGGGCAGUUUGACUGGGGCGGUCGCCUCCUAAAAGGUAACGGAGGCGCUCAAAGGUUCCCUCAGAAUGGUUGGAAAUCAUUCAUAGAGUGUAAAGGCAUAAGGGAGCUUGACUGCGAGACCUACAAGUCGAGCAGGGUCGAAAGACGGACUUAGUGAUCCGGUGGUUCCGCAUGGAAGGGCCAUCGCUCAACGGAUAAAAGCUACCCCGGGGAUAACAGGCUUAUCUCCCCCAAGAGUUCACAUCGACGGGGAGGUUUGGCACCUCGAUGUCGGCUCAUCGCAUCCUGGGGCUGUAGUCGGUCCCAAGGGUUGGGCUGUUCGCCCAUUAAAGCGGUACGCGAGCUGGGUUCAGAACGUCGUGAGACAGUUCGGUCCCUAUCCGUCGUGGGCGUAGGAAAUUUGAGAGGAGCUGUCCUUAGUACGAGAGGACCGGGA